CAAUAGCGUAUAUUAAAGUUGUUGCGGUUAAAAAGCUCGUAGUUGGAUUUCUGCUGAGAACGACCGGUCCGCCCUCUGGGUGUGUAUCUGGCUCUUUCUUGGCAUCUUCUUGGUGAACGUUGCUGCACUUGACUGUGUGGAGCGCUACCCAGGACUUUUACUUUGAGGAAAUUAGAGUGUUUCAAGCAGGCAUACGCCUUGAAUACAUUAGCAUGGAAUAAUAAGAUAGGACCUCGGUUCUAUUUUGUUGGUUUCUAGAGCUGAGGUAAUGAUUAAUAGGGAUAGUUGGGGGCAUUCGUAUUUAACUGUCCGAGGUGAAAUUCUUGGAUUUGUUAAAGACGGACUACUGCGAAAGCAUUUGCCAAGGAUGUUUUCAUUGA
rnacentral:rRNA from 1 species